rnacentral:rRNA from 1 species
GAUGAACGCUGGCGGCGUGCCUAAUACAUGCAAGUCGAGCGAACAGACGAGGAGCUUGCUCCUCUGACGUUAGCGGCGGACGGGUGAGUAACACGUGGAUAAUCUACCUAUAAGACUGGGAUAACUUCGGGAAACCGGAGCUAAUACCGGAUAAUAUAUUGAACCGCAUGGUUCAAUAGUGAAAGACGGUUUUGCUGUCACUUAUAGAUGGAUCCGCGCCGCAUUAGCUAGUUGGUAAGGUACCGGCUUACCAAGGCAACGAUGCGUAGCCGACCUGAGAGGGUGAUCGGCCACACUAGAACUGAGACACGGUCCAGACUCCUACGGGAGGCAGCAGUAGGGAAUCUUCCGCAAUGGGCGAAAGCCUGACGGAGCAACGCCGCGUGAGUGAUGAAGGUCUUCGGAUCGUAAAACUCUGUUAUUAGGGAAGAACAAAUGUGUAAGUAACUAUGCACGUCUUGACGGUACCUAAUCAGAAAGCCACGGCUAACUACGUG